GUUCACUGACCUUUAUUUAUGGAUAGAAUCCACUUAUGACAGAGCAAGACAGAACAGAGCUGGGCAAGGAAAACUAAACUGAAUGCUGGGAGAAGGAAGGCAGGGAAUGGAGAAGCCAUGGAGCCACCACCGGAGACAGACACUCUGGAACCUUGAUGUGCACAUAUGGAGGUGAAAGAACCAAUUGUUGGAGUCUGUUCUCUCCUGCUACCAUGCGGGUUAUCUGAAUCAAAUCCAGGUUGUCAAACUUGAUG